rnacentral:lncRNA from 1 species
GUUUCAGUUUAAUUAAAAUGAAUACUUGUUCAAUUUGUCAACUUACCUCAUUUACAAGUUUAUCCUGUGCUUUAUGUACAAAAAUUGUUGGCACCAAAUGUCAAGGUAGUAGAACCAAUGAAUACAAUGUGUGAAUACAAUGCUGUGUAUAAAACUUGUACAGGUCCAGCUAUAAACCCCUGGUAAACCUUAUAAUUUUGCCAGAACCAGUUUCACACACAACAUUUACAAAGCUAGUGGUUCUAUAAAAACUUAAGGAAAGAAUAAAUUUUAGAGUUGUCAUCGGCUAAAAAGAUAACGUUUAAUACAAAAGUCGCAUUCAUAUCUAAAAACAGGUAACGUGACACCAGGUUUUUAAACAGUUGAUGAACCUAUUGAACCUCGGAUUUAGUUGAUGAACCUAUUGUCUACUGUUGAAACAUGAUUUGAUUCAGUAAAUUUUUAUUAUUUGAAUUUUACUGUAUUAAUCAUUAGUCAACAGUUAGCGAGAAACUGGUGUUCUACGUAAUUGAGGUAAAAUUAAUUUUGUUCACUGGUAACAUUCCAAAACAGUUUUUGUGGUUUAUUGUUUUAUAUCUAUAUUGUGCUACUAUAUUGUUUUAAUGAUAGAUUAAUUGAUGAACAUUUCAAUCGUCACCAAAAAUUGAAUUUUCCUGUUUGUUGCAGGCUUGUUUUCCUUUAAUUAGGAGUAUGGUAGACUUAAAGAAGCAGUUCAUAUCUAAACGACACAAAUUGUCAAAAGCAAGAGAAAUAAAGAAAAAAAGAGUUUUAU